rnacentral:tRNA from 2 species
AUUUAAAUAGCUUAAUAAAAGAGUAUUAUAUUGAAGAUAUAAAGGUAAUAAUUAUAUUUUUAAAUA